UACGUAGGGACCAAGCGUUGUCCGGAAUCAUUGGGCGUAAAGAGCGUGUAGGCGGCUUGUUAAGUCUUGCGUGAAAUCUCGGGGCUCAACCCGAGCGGUCGUGAGAAACUGGCAGGCUAGAGUGCGGGAGAGGAGAGUGGAAUUCCUGGUGUAGCGGUGAAAUGCGCAGAUAUCAGGAAGAACACCCGUGGCGAAGGCGGCUCUCUGGGACGGUACUGACGCUGAGACGCGAAAGCGUGGGGAGCGAACAGG
rnacentral:rRNA from 1 species